GAGUGCGGUCGCAAGAUUAAAACUCAAAUGAAUUGACGGGGGCCCCGCACAAGCGGUGGAGCAUGUGGUUUAAUUCGAUGCAACGCGAAGAACCUUACCUACUCUUGACAUCCAGAGAACUUAGCAGAGAUGGUUUGGUGCCUUCGGGAACUCUGAGACAGGUGCUGCAUGGCUGUCGUCAGCUCGUGUUGUGAAAUGUUGGGUUAAGUCCCGCAACGAGCGCAACCCUUAUCCUUGUUUGCCAGCACAUAAUGGUGGGAACUCCAGGGAGACUGCCGGUGAUAAACCGGAGGAAGGUGGGGACGACGUCAAGUCAUCAUGGCCCUUACGAGUAGGGCUACACACGUGCUACAAUGGCGUAUACAGAGGGCUGCCAACCAGCGAUGGUGAGCGAAUCCCAGAAAGUACGUCGUAGUCCGGAUUGGAGUCUGCAACUCGACUCCAUGAAGUCGGAAUCGCUAGUAAUCGUGAAUCAGAAUGUCACGGUGAAUACGUUCCCGGGCCUUGUACAC
rnacentral:rRNA from 1 species